UUCGUUCUUUCGCAUCGUAGGCUCCCCUCCAUUACUUGUGGAGAUGGUGUUGGACAAGUCUUUGAAAGGAGUUCGUUCAGUCGAGUGUUUCGACGGCUCCAUCCGCAAGGUGUCCUGAUAAAAAAGCACGGAAGUACUGGCGUGUGACCUUUAUGAGUUCGAUAGGAUCUGGAAUGACAUGAGGACAUAUCAGGAUAUAGACUAUGUCAUGUCCAAAGCCAAGAAGAAGUAAGAAACUGAUGCGAUGUCUGAGCGUCAAAGAAGAGGCGGCAGACCAAUGAGGCAGACCACGGGGCGUCGGCGAGGUGGCAGACCAAUGAGGCAGACCACGGGGCGUCGGCGAGGCGGUAGACCAAUGAGGCAGACCACGGGGCGUCGGCGUUGGCAACCAGCAAGGUCGAUGGAGAGAUUGCAGUCGUCGGCGAAGAUACGGCAGACCACGGGGCGGCGAGCUGGUUGCCAGAAGGCAGGCGUCAAAGAAGAGAUCUCAGACCACGAGGCAGCGAGGUGGUUGCCGGACGGCAGGCGUCGGAGUAAAGACGACAGCGUGAGGAUGAGAAGAGACGGCAGCGUGAGGGGGAGGUGAUUUCGUUGGUCUGAUUGAUUUCCAUAUACGUUUUGGCUGAUUUUUUCCUUGUACGUGAGGGGGAGAUGAUUUGGUUGGUCUGAUUGGUUUCCGUACAUG